rnacentral:rRNA from 1 species
GACGAACGCUGGCGGCGUGCUUAACACAUGCAAGUCGAACGAGAGUAUCAAAGAAGCUUGCUUUUAAGAUACUUUAGUGGCGGACGGGUGAGUAACGCGUGAGGAGCUGUCCUAUGCAGGGGGACAACAGUUGGAAACGACUGCUAAUACCCCAUAAGCCGAGAGGUAAAAGGAUUUAUCCGGCAAGGAGGUACUCGCGUCCUAUCAGCUAGUAGGUGGGGUAACGGCUCACCUAGGCGAAGACGGGUAGCCGGCCUGAGAGGGCGAACGGCCACAGUGGAACGGAGAUAGUGUCCAGACGCCAACGGGAGUCAGCAGUGGGGAAUAUUGGCCAAUGGGGGAAACCCUGACCCAGCGACGCCGAGUGGGUGAAGAAAUCCUUCGGGAUGUAAAGCCCUGGUGUAUGGGAAGAGCAGAAGACGGUACCAUACGAGGAAGCCCCGGCAAACUACGUGCCAGCAGCCGCGGUAA